UUCCCUCUCUGUUUUCAUCUCAGAAGGAAAGGGUCAGAGCAUUUCUUAGGUGAAACAAGGAGAGAGAAACCUAGAGAGAGAAAACUUCAGUAACUCAAGACCACCGAUGAUGGUGCUUCGAAUUCUUCGAGUUUGAGGUUGUGGAAGACACUUUUCGGAUCGUCAUAUUCAUCAGGAGUGGUGAUUUCUCCCUUUUGAUUUUGACCUGAGAAAGGAAAAAAGAGGAGAAAACUGCUGCUGAAGAUACUUUGAAUGCUUACAAAGCUGCUCAGGUCUUGGUGAUGCACACAUCACGGCUCAAUAUGUAGGUCUUGGUGCGGUUGCUCGGGAUGAACUUGGGCAGCUGCUGUGGGCUGCUGUUCGAAGAGUGGCUGCGUAAUCAGAGGUGGAGGCAGCUGAAGCGGUGUGUUUUGGAAUGCAAAUUGCACAUAUGUUGGGCAUCUUGAACAUCUGGAUUGCUAAGAACAAACUUGUUCUUCAUCAUAUUCUUCUGGGUUUUAGCUUUUUCUGAAGAAUUUCUCACUGGAAAGGGAAUAAAAGGAAGGAUGUGGCUCCAAACCAUGCUGCUUCUUCAGGGAAAGGUCCUCCUAUCCUUGCUGUGGUUGUUAGAAAAUUAGUUCUGACUAGCAGAGGAGUCAAGAACCCUCGCGUUACCAUCUUGAAACUGCUGCUCUUCGGUAACUUUUCAUGUAAAAAAGACGACUCCAAUAAUUGUUUAUUAAAAGAUUUAAUGAUUUCAGAAUUGAGCUAUUGUUUUAAAUUAUCUUCAAUGAUUACACCUUUAUAACACACUCUUGAUCCAAAAUGGACAGCCAUGUAUUACUUUAUUAUAUGAAGUAAAUUAUAAGCAGAGUGCUCAACGAUCCAUUUAAUUUCUUCUGUAGUUUAUGUAAAUUGUGAACUUCAAAUCCUGUAUUAUACUACCUGUAUUAUACUAUUAUUAGACUUUAUGCUUUUGAUUAGGGAUCAGUAAAUGUAUGUUAAUAGAUAAAGCAGUGAGGUAUGCUUGCAAAAACAAGAUAACUAUCUGAAGUUAUAUGGUGCCACUACAAGUGUGAUAUCAAGAAUUCCUUAUUUUCAACUGAAAUAUUUGGUUUUGAUUAAUUGGAGUUCUGGUUUGACUCUUUCAGGUUAAUACUCUUAAGGUAACAACUGCAGUUCAUUGCAUCAAGCAUAUAGCGAUGACAAUUAUGACUUCAAAUGCAACAAAUUGCUUUUCUUUAUCUUGUCGUUUAGGCAAAACAAAAUUCCAUUGUAGAAGCAAAGCAACAAGAUUCAACAAAAACUAAGGGGAGCUCAGAAACACAGUAGCAAAAGAAAACAAGUCAUUAAGAGAGCACUAAGAAGAGUGGUGGUUUGGGACUGAUUUUCUAAGCAGCAGAUCUGGACAAAUUAAUUAAUACAAGGGUACCUUUUGUAUUGGUAAAGCAAUAGAACAGUAAAUGUUAUGUGAACUUUUGUAUAAAGCAUUUGAAUUCAAAGUUGUAACCUCAAGCUAACUAUAUUUAUUUUAUAAUUGUAACCGUCG